UACGUAGGGUGCAAGCGUUGUCCGGAAUUAUUGGGCGUAAAGAGCUCGUAGGCGGUCUGUUGCGUCGGCUGUGAAAACCCGGGGCUCAACUCCGGGCCUGCAGCCGAUACGGGCAGACUAGAGUUCGGCAGGGGAGACUGGAAUUCCUGGUGUAGCGGUGAAAUGCGCAGAUAUCAGGAGGAACACCGGUGGCGAAGGCGGGUCUCUGGGCCGGUACUGACGCUGAGGAGCGAAAGCGUGGGGAGCAAACAGG
rnacentral:rRNA from 1 species